ACUCCUACGGGAGGCAGCAGUGGGGAAUAUUGCACAAUGGGCGCAAGCCUGAUGCAGCCAUGCCGCGUGUAUGAAGAAGGCCUUCGGGUUGUAAAGUACUUUCAGCAGUGAGGAAGGUGGAUGCGUUAAUAGCGUAUUCAUUUGACGUUAGCUGCAGAAGAAGCACCGGCUAACUCCGUGCCAGCAGCCGCGGUAAUACGGAGGAUCCAAGCGUUAUCCGGAAUCAUUGGGUUUAAAGGGUCCGUAGGCGGUUUUAUAAGUCAGUGGUGAAAUCCGGCAGCUCAACUGUCGAACUGCCAUUGAUACUGUAGAACUUGAAUUAUUGUGAAGUAACUAGAAUAUGUAGUGUAGCGGUGAAAUGCUUAGAGAUUACAUGGAAUACCAAUUGCGAAGGCAGGUUACUAACAAUAUAUUGACGCUGAUGGACGAAAGCGUGGGUAGCGAACAGGAUUAGAUACCCUGGUAGGAUAGCGU
rnacentral:rRNA from 1 species